rnacentral:lncRNA from 1 species
CUCGAGGGCAGCGGCGGUAGGAAAGAAGAACGACUUUGGUCACCGGGGGCUCAUUCAUCACCUGAAUGACAAGCUCUCUCGGAACACAUUUAGUUUCUUCUUUCUCACCCAGUGGACCAGAGGCUGACACCAGGAGCGCACUGAAUGCAGGCACUGAACAGCUCCACCAUCCUUUGGUGCUCCUGAGAAGGACUGAAGGACAGCGGUGUCUCUUUCCAGCCUCUGUAAACUCAUGUAUGUAAAGCUCCUGGGAUGCUGAACUGGAACCAGUCACUAAGAAAGAACAGGUAAGAACUGAGAGCUCAUAUCUUUAUUAGUUUUCCAUAGAUACGUGAUUGUUGGCAACCACAUAAACUCAGGAAUGACUUGGAGCUUGGAGUAGCCAGUAUCAAAUGUGACCUGCUGGAGGAUACUGCGAUUUCUCAUCUGUCAUUGUGUAGUCAAACAAUGAACCUCAGCCACAUCAAUGAGAACAGAGUAACUGUAAAACCCAGCAUCCAGGCUAUCCUGAAGAGCUCAAUUGGUUAUCCCCACAGCUCACUUAGAAGAGCAUUUGAUGUGGACAUUCUAGAGGAAAAUAAAGAAGAAAAUAUUCCCUUCUGGACUUGAUGU